UACGGAGGGUACGAACGUUAAUCGGAAUUACUGGGCGUAAAGCGCGCGUAGGUGGUUUCGUCAGUCAGAUGUGAAAGCCCAGAGCUUAACUCUGGAAUUGCAUCCGAUACUGGUUAACUAGAGUACAGUAGAGGGAAGCGGAAUUCCUAGUGUAGCGGUGAAAUGCGUAGAUAUGUCAAGGAACUCCAAUUGCGAAGGCAGCUCACGAAAGUAUAACUGACGCUGAUGCACGAAAGCGUGGGUAGCAAACAGG
rnacentral:rRNA from 1 species